AUUGAACGCUGGCGGCAUGCUUUACACAUGCAAGUCGAACGGUAACAGGCCUUCGGGUGCUGACGAGUGGCGAACGGGUGAGUAAUGCAUCGGAACGUGCUCAGAGGUGGGGGAUAACGCAGCGAAAGCUGUGCUAAUACCGCAUGUGAUCUGAGGAUGAAAGCGGGGGACCAGGCAGCAAUGUUUGGCCUCGCGCCUUUGGAGCGGCCGAUGUCAGAUUAGGUAGUUGGUGGGGUAAAGGCCUACCAAGCCGACGAUCUGUAGCUGGUCUGAGAGGACGACCAGCCACACUGGGACUGAGACACGGCCCAGACUCCUACGGGAGGCAGCAGUGGGGAAUUUUGGACAAUGGGCGCAAGCCUGAUCCAGCAAUGCCGCGUGCUGGAAGAAGGCCUUCGGGUUGUAAACCGCUUUUGUACGGAACGAAAAGGCUCUGGCUAAUACCUGGGGCUGAUGACGGUACCGUAAGAAUAAGCACCGGCUAACUACGUG
rnacentral:rRNA from 1 species